rnacentral:rRNA from 1 species
AUUGAACGCUGGCGGCAUGCCUAACACAUGCAAGUCGAACGAGUGGCGGACGGGUGUGUAAUGUCUGUGACCCUGCCUGAUGGAGGGGGAUAACUACUGGAACCGUUAGCUAAUACCGCAUACCUUCAGCUGUGCCCAGAUUGGAUUAGCUUGUUGGUGGGGUAACGGCUCACCAAGGCGACGAUCCCUAGCUGGUCUGAGAGGAUGACCAGCCACACGGGAACUGGGACACGGACCAGACUCCUACGGGAGGCAGAAGUGGGGAAGAUGGGACAAUGGGGGAAGGCCGGAUGCAGACAGGCCGCGUGGAUGAAGAAGGCCUUCGGGUUGUAAAGUACUUUCAGAGGGGAGGCGGUACUCGCAGAAGAAGCACCGGCUAACUACGUGCCAGCAGCCGCGGUAAUUC